UUAUCAUUCUAGAGUACAAUCCUUGGCAAAAUAAUUAUCACUUAAUAAUAUAUAUCCCCAAAUCUUCAUACUCAUACCAUCUCACACAAAAUCUCUGCCACUAACCAACACUCUCUGUCACAAACUUUUUAAGAUUCAUCUAACCUUAAACUACCUUCAGACAGAAUUCAUGAAUCAAGCAGCAGAAGUUUCAAGAAUCUUCAAUUUCCUCUAUAUCCAGACUGAAUCGACUGGAUCAAACUUCAAUGAAGUUGAAGGUGAUUGAAUGCGGGUGAUCGAGCGUGCGCGCACUCAUGCUUGCAGGAUAUCCGCGGAUGCAGGAGGCGGCUGACCGGGAGGAUGACGGCAAGCGCGCAAGAGCGAGAAGUCGGUAACUUAACUGGCCUAAAUGGGUUUAACUCGAUGUGAUUUUGCUGGCGAACCACUAAAUUGAACGAAUACGAACUAAACUGAACUCAACUAAGCUAAUCAUAUCACAUUACUAGCGUUAUUAGCCGAGAGACGAUAUAAGUGAAGGUCCGGUGGUGCCGGGCUGCAGUAACGGGUCGCCUCCUGCACUGACCCUCUGUACGACUUUCUUUUCGACCCCUUUUUCUCGUUCAUACUAUCAAGAAUUUCGUGUCCUGUAUCAUCUAUCCGUAUCUAAAUCAUAGAAACGCGUUCAUUUUGUAUAAUUGUUACGUUUGUCGUUGUUUACGAAAUCGUUUUUUAGGUUAGUUUUGUGAAACUUUGUGGAAGGUGAAGUCUCUCGGAAGAAACAGACGAUUCUCGAUGUACACGAGGUCUGGCGGACGAUGUUGCCCGAUCCUGGCCGAGCCGUAACGCUACCCUGACUGUGCAACAGGAAACACGUGCGCCCGGUGAAAGUGACAGCUCGGAGCGCGCCAAAUUUGAAACGGAGAUCGAAGAAUCGCGUUGUUCGUGUGAGUAAAAUGUUCUUAUAGGUGUAUAGUGAUUGUUGAAGAAUUCUUUGUUGGAAGUUGUGUAUGAUAAAAAUAAGUACAUAUCUUAACUCGAAACUGAUAUGGUUCGUUGUAAGUUACAUAUUGAACUAUCUUUUUAUGACAAAGCAUACUUGUAUCUUGAAUUCAAGCGAUAUGAUUUAAUUUAAGCUAUGAAGUUGCGAUUCUUUUAUAUCUUGUUGAGAUUUCUUGUAUAUGAUUCAUUAACGAUAUUUUACAUGUAUAAAUUCCUUAAGUGCUAAUUUUAUGAAGAUUCUAUGUGCGCUAUUUAAAAUCUUCGUAAAUAUUAUGAUUUUUAUAUAAUAAAAGACUUUCUAUAUGUAAAUUGUAUUUAAUAUUCAAUAUUCACAAGUUAGUCAAAAAUCUUCUAGCAAACUUUUACUAUUAUUAAUUCUUACAAUAUUAAAUUUGAAUAUUGUUAAUAUACCACUAAAUUUUCGUUAAAAAACGUUAUAUUGUAAUGUAUUGUAACGUAUUAAAUGUAAUAUUGGACAAACUGAGGAAGACUUGAUAUCGAAGUGGGGGAUAUCAGCGGUUAAAGAAAGAGAAGACAGAAUAAUUAUCUCCCACCAACCACUUCGAAGCGACAAGAGAGGGGAAUAGACCUGGAGGAAAGAUAAGAACGAAAUGGACACGAUACGUUCCGUCCCCACCACUUCUACCAGCAGAAUAGAAGGAGUUUCUCGGCUCCACCUCUUCCCCUUCCGAUAAUACCCUCCUUCGACGGUGGAUGACGAUUUGACUCUGACUUACUGUACUUAGAUCAGAACAGACUAACAUAAUCCACAUAUAUACAUAUAUAAUGUACACAAGCUUUUACAUAUAUGGAGAACGCAACGAGCUGAUAAUAAGCAGACAAAGGGAAAGAGUCUCUGUUGUUGAGAAGUAUAUUUAGAUCGAACGACACAGGGAAACGAGGUGAAGAGGAGGGUUUGGAAGCGACUUUUUGCACGCGAGCCGCUCUUUUUUACGUCGUAGGUAUGCCGACCGGAUAGUAUUGCCGUGUGGCCAGGCUGGCAGGGCCGACCAAUUGAGCCUGUUAACGUCAAUUGAGCUGAAUUAGUUCAAUUGGACGUAAUUGCGCGAAGGCGACGGGGAACCUUCGCUCUCUGUUCACCAGCCAUGCUCGCGUUUCUCUUUUCGCGCUGAUAUCGCCGUAUUCUCAGGACUUCCUUCAAAGUACAGUCCAAACAUAAGUUCGACAUAAUCGAGGAAUGUUGUACAAGACUGAUUUGAUACAUAGAUUGUUUAAAACACUGGUUUUAUAUAGGGAUAAUAUUUAGGCAUGGAGUCUUUUCGGGACGUAGUUUUGUGACUAUUUUAGGUAAAACGCUAUUUUAUAGAGAUUUACUAUGUUUCUCUAGAGCCGUCAAAUUGUAAUCUCGUAGAUUUAGUUGUUUAAUUUCUCACUAAAUGAUCUCAGAUAAAAUAGGUUUGAUGUUGUUUAACGUGAUUCUUAUGCUGAAGCAUUUAAACUUUGCUUUUAUUUAUUUUCAUAAUUAUGGUGGAUAAUUCUUGGGUACAAUGUUAACGCGAUUAUGUUAUGUAUAAAUAUAAUAUCUAUUACAUUAUCAAAUAACAGAUCAAACAUACAGAGCAAUAGGUACCUUCUUAAGAAAAUAACAGAAUCAUAAAAAAUUCACUACAAGACAAAUCAUUUCAUCGCUUCUAUGAAAAUUAGUGAAAAAUAAAAAAAAAGCAACCCUUAUAUCGGUCAGAAAAAUUCCACCCUCUUCGUGUUCUCUAAGCUUCCCCCAAGUAAAACAAAUUACAACAUCACCGGUACCAGGAUAAUGGCCAUCAGAGGAGGCAAUUAUGACAGCCGUGGCCCAAGAAUUAACGUGCCCACAUGAGCGUCGCGAGAUUCCUGAUCGAGAUCACAAUAAACGUUCCUUUCUCGCUUUUUCCCUUUUUUUCACCCCCAUGGAACGUUGGCGAACAAGCAACAGUCAUUGAUAUUAGUCACUUUAUAUCAUGCUGGUAUAUUUCACUGGUCAAAGCGUAGGGAGAUGGCCAACGACGAAGACUUUUUUAUACGUGCUGUAUGUGUUUUGAGGAGAAAUACUGGUGGUCGAUCCCCACCCUCGAUCCGACACAAAGAGCUUGGAUAUUUUCAAUAUACGCGCACUGUCUAUUCAAUGGUUGCUGCGAUUCUACCUGAGAUUCGAUUCAUACAGUGGAUGAAUUCCUAGUUUGAAAUAUGCCGGAUGCGACCACGUGGGCUGAGUGCAUGCAACAGGUGUAUGGAGACUCGUAGGAGACUACCUGUUGAGUGGAUAUAAAUUAAGGCUUUCGCUUUCAAUAAUUAUAUCGUCCAGAAGUUAUACUCAUUAACUCUAUAAAUUAAAAGGAGAAAAUGACGCGUGUUGGAUGUUACAAUUUUUCUGAAAUUUCUUCACAAUUUACGCUUAUUUAUGUCAUUAUCUUGCAAUACGGAUAAGCUUACGCUAGAGGCGAAUGUAAUUUGUUUCUUCGAGAAGUACAGUGGUAAUCACGUGUCCGGCCAAUGAAAUGUAGAUCAGUCAGAGAUGUAGAGUCAAUGAAGUAGAGUAACGCGUGAAGAAUGUAAAAUACAGUUGGAUUAGAACGUCGUGAAAUUGAAGAGAGUAGGAUUUGAGAAUUGAAGGGUGUAGAAUGAGCUAAAUUAGAUUAUCGAUGAAAGGAUUAAAGAUAUUUAUAAGGGUCGAAUUUGAGAGUUAAGGGGAGUGAAAUGUGCACUGUAGAAUGAGAUUGAUUAGAUUAUUAAUUAUGAAACGUGAAGGUUGAGGGGGCGUAGAAUAUGUGCUAUGAGAUAUACGCUAUAGAACGUAUAUUGUAGAAUGUUAUAGAAUGUAUUAAAUUAAAUUGUUGAUAACGUUA